rnacentral:rRNA from 1 species
UAAUACGAAGGGACCUAGCGUAGUUCGGAAUUACUGGGCUUAAAGAAUUCGUAGGUGGUUGAAAAAGUUAGUGGUGAAAUCCCAGAGCUUAACUCUGGAACUGCCAUUAAAACUUUUCAGCUAGAGUAUGAUAGAGGAAAGCAGAAUUUCUAGUGUAGAGGUGAAAUUCGUAGAUAUUAGAAAGAAUACCAAUUGCGAAGGCAGCUUUCUGGAUCAUUACUGACACUGAGGAACGAAAGCAUGGGUAGCGAAGAGGAUUAGAUACCCUCGUAGUCCAUGCCGUAAACGAUGUGUGUUAGACGUUGGAAAUUUAUUUUCAGUGUCGCAGCGAAAGCGAUAAACACACCGCCUGGGGAGUACGACCGCAAGGUUAAAACUCAAAUGAAUUGACGGGGACCCGCACAAGUAGUGGAGCAUGUGGUUUAAUUCGAAGAUACGCGCAGAACCUUACCAACACUUGACAUGUUCGUCGCGACUUUAAGAGAUUAAAGUUUUCGGUUCGGCCGGACGAAACACAGGUGCUGCAUGGCUGUCGUCAGCUCGUGUCGUGAGAUGUUGGGUUAAGUCCCGCAACGAGCGCAACCCUCACUUUUAGUUGCCAUCAUUAAGUUGGGCACUCUGAAAGAACUGCCAGUGAUAAGCUGGAGGAAGGUGGGGAUGACGUCAAGUCCUCAUGGCCCUUACGUGUUGGGCUACACACGUGCUACAAUGGUAUCUACAACAGGAAGCAAGACGGCGACGUCAAGCAAAUCCUUAAAAGAUACCUCAGUUCGGAUUGCACUCUGCAACUCGAGUGCAUGAAGCUGGAAUUACUAGUAAUCGUGGAUCAGCGUGCCACGGUGAAUGCGUUCCCGGGUCUUGUACACACCGCCCGUCACACCAUGGGAGUUGGUUCUACCUUAAGGCAAGGUUUAAAACCCUUGACCACGGUAUAGUCAGCGACUGGGGUGAAGUCGUAACAAGGUAACCG